CCUACGGGAGUCUGCAGUGAGGAAUAUUGGUCAAUGGGCGCGAGCCUGAACCAGCCAAGUAGCGUGAAGGAUGACUGCCCUACGGGUUGUAAACUUCUUUUAUAAAGGAAUAAAGUCAGGCACGUGUGCCUUUUUGUAUGUACUUUAUGAAUAAGGAUCGGCUAACUCCGUGCCAGCAGCCGCGGUAAUACGGAGGAUCCGAGCGUUAUCCGGAUUUAUUGGGUUUAAAGGGUGCGUAGAUGGGUGGUUAAGUCAGUGGUGAAAGUUUGCGGCUCAACCGUAAAAUUGCAAUUGAUACUGACAGCCUUGAGAACAGUUGAGGUAGGCGGAAUUCGUGGUGUAGCGGUGAAAUGCUUAGAUAUCACGAAGAACUCCGAUUGCGAAGGCAGCUUACUAAGCUGCCACUGACAUUGAGGCUCGAAAGUGUGGGUAGCAAACAGGAUUAGAUACCCCUGUAGUC
rnacentral:rRNA from 1 species